rnacentral:rRNA from 1 species
GAUGAACGCUAGCGGCAGGCUUAAUACAUGCAAGUCGUGGGGCAGCAUGAAUGUAGCAAUACAUUUGAUGGCGACCGGCAAACGGGUGCGGAACACGUACACAACCUUCCUAUAAGUGGGGAAUAGCCCAGAGAAAUUUGGAUUAAUACCCCGUAACAUAAUGAUGUGGCAUCACAUUAUUAUUAUAGCUUCGGCGCUUAUUGAUGGGUGUGCGGCUGGUUAGAUAGUUGGCGGGGUAACGGCCCACCAAGUCUACGAUCAGUAGCUGAUGUGAGGGCAUGAGCAGCCAAACGGGCACUGAGACACGGGCCCGACUCCUACGGGAGGCAGCAGUAAGGAAUAUUGGUCAAUGGACGCAAGUCUGAACCAGCCAUGCCGCGUGAAGGAUUAAGGUCCUCUGGAUUGUAAACUUCUUUUAUCUGGGACGAAAAAAGGCGAUUCUUCGUCACUUGACGGUACCAGAUGAAUAAGCACCGGCUAACUCCGUGCCAGCAGCCGCCGUAACAC